UACGGAGGAUGCGAGCGUUAUCCGGAUUUAUUGGGUUUAAAGGGUGCGUAGGCGGACUGUCAAGUCAGCGGUAAAAUCGUGGAGCUCAACUCCAUCCAGCCGUUGAAACUGGGUGCCUUGAGUGGGCGAGAAGUACGCGGAAUGCGCGGUGUAGCGGUGAAAUGCUUAGAUAUCGCGCAGAACCCCGAUUGCGAAGGCAGCGUACCGGCUCCACACUGACGCUCAUGCACGAAAGUGUGGGUAUCGAACAGG
rnacentral:rRNA from 1 species